AGAGCAAUCAGUGGCAGAGCUUUGGGAAUGAAAAGCCCCUAGUUUUAGAAUACAAUUUUACCUGUAUCAGCUCAAACUACAUGGAAAUUCAGAUGAAAUUACAAGUUUUCUUGUCUUUCCUAGUGUGUUUUGGUCAUUAAUUUCACAGGUUUUUGUAUGUUAAACAGUACUGAUUAUGUUGCAGUUCAGAUUUUACCAUACAGUGAGAUUGAUUUCUUGAUAUUAUUUUUUAUUUAUUCCCCUUUUUGCCGAUUCAUUCAAGCAGUUUAAGUCGAUCCAUAGAAUCUGAUGUUGCAGACAAUGAAAAAGAAAUAGUUGUUUCUCUAAGACACAGAGGGGAAAGACUGGUCAUUUUCAUGGAAAGGCUCAGUUUUAGGUCAUCUCUAAUGUAGGGUGCUAUUGUAAUUUGGGAGACACAAAAGGUUAUUCCUUCAUUGUUACUGUCAUUGUAUUGGCAGUGCGCUAUUUAUCCACAUGGUGAUCCAACUGCCUAUAAAUACCCCUGAACGUCCUCAACAGCCUACCAUCUUCUCCUAAAACUUUCUCUCUGUUCUCUCUCUGCCUCUUGGCUAUUGUUACAAGUUACUUUCUUUGAAGCGGGCAAUGGCAAGAAAACUGAGCAUUGUGAUGCUCUCUCUUUCGAUGAUGCUUCUUUUACUAGUACAGAACAAUGCUACCAUCACCGAGGCUCCAACUCCACAGCCCCAACAAAGCACAAACGGCUUUCCCAUGCAUGGUGUCACUCAAGGCAGCCUUCAUCCUCAGGAGUGUGCGCCCCGUUGCACGACUAGAUGCUCCAAAACAGCUUACAAGAAACCCUGCAUGUUCUUCUGCCAGAAAUGCUGUGCCAAGUGCUUGUGCGUGCCUCCAGGAACAUAUGGGAACAAGCAAUUCUGCCCCUGCUACAAUAACUGGAAGACCAAGAGAGGAGGACCCAAGUGCCCCUAGGAUGUCUUGGCUACAUUUGUGCCGCCUCGUCUGACUCUAUUUAUUUAGUAGUAACUCAGUUAUUUAUUCAACCUGUUAGUUUGGUGUCAUUAAUUACUUUAGAUCCACUUAGGAAUUAGGAUACACCAUUGGGCCUAUAAUUUGUUAUUUUGCUGUAAUGCUAACAUCUAUUAGUCCACAAAUUAUUUGUAUGUGUCAUUGUGUAGAUCCACAAUCUCACAAAGGUUUGAUGGGUUGGUGUGCUGAGAUGUAACACGGUGUAUGGCCUUGAUUUCCGGAAUGUAAAAGUAAGACAGUUUGUCC